rnacentral:rRNA from 1 species
GUGGGGAAUUUUGGACAAUGGGCGCAAGCCUGAUCCAGCAAUGCCGCGUGCAGGAAGAAGGCCUUCGGGUUGUAAACUGCUUUUGUACGGAACGAAACGGUCCGGGUUAAUACCCUGGGCUAAUGACGGUACCGUAAGAAUAAGCACCGGCUAACUACGUGCCAGCAGCCGCGGUAAUACGUAGGGUGCGAGCGUUAAUCGGAAUUACUGGGCGUAAAGCGUGCGCAGGCGGUUAUGUAAGACAGAUGUGAAAUCCCCGGGCUCAACCUGGGAACUGCAUUUGUGACUGCAUGACUGGAGUGCGGCAGAGGGGGAUGGAAUUCCGCGUGUAGCAGUGAAAUGCGUAGAGAUGCGGAGGAACACCGAUGGUGAAGGCAGCCUCCUGGGAUAACACUGACGCUCAGGCACGAAAGCGUGGGGAGCAAACAGGAUUAGAAACCCCUGUAGUCC